GAGACAAUAAGGGAUUAACAGAACUUUGAAAUUUGGAAACUUCAAGCGGCAGAAGAAGAACAGUUCGUGUCUUCUUCCUGAAUCUUUGCAGUCCCAAAAGGAGCAAUUCGAAUUGACAGUCCAGUUCAUAUUCCUCUGGUUCUCUCUAUCUAUGCACACAUUGUAGUGAUAAACAGUGAAUUGGACGAUGGAGCUUCAAGAAUUUGAGCCGAUAAUUGGGGAAGCAAAACCUGAGUUGGAGAGCUCGGAUUCGAGUCCACUGGGGCCAUUCUUGUUCCAUGUAUAUGCUUCUGAUUCCUCUCACCUAAAAUUCAGCGUCACCGAUUUUCGUUCCAAUACUUUCGAGGUGGUUCGUUCGCUGUCGCAACUUGAGGACAUGAGGGACAGCAUUGGAAUCGGAGGAUCUUGGUCUGAGUUUGUUGAUUACAUCAUAGCUUCCUUCAAAUCUGAAGAUGUAAAACUUGCACUGGAAAGACAUCCAAAGUCAGAUGGAGCUGCUCAUGCUAAAUUAAUUGCCCAGAAAUCAAAAGGAAUGCCUCGUAUUUCCAUUUCUCUCACAAAACUUGUGGAUGCUGCUGCUAGUGAGGCUGUCGCAACUCUAUCACUCCAGCUAUUCAAGGUUUUCAAAAGCAUGCAGCAUUUACUAGUGCAAGAGAAGAAGCACCCUUACCGGUCAAUGGAAGUCACGUCUACUGAAAAGGAGAAGAAUGAACGUAUUCAGAGCCAAUUGGAGCUGCCGUCAAAGAAACAGAAGUUGCAAAAGAUGAAUUCUUCGGACAGAGCAGAUGCCUCUUCUACUUUAGAUAGUAAUGGCCUGCGAAAUUCUCCGGCUAAGCGAGCAUCUCAAGAUUUAGGCUCAACCAAAGUUGCUAAUCGUGUCUUACCAGCGUAUCGCAGGGCAAGAGUAAGGGGAGCCCAUUUGCAGGAUACUGAAGAUGAUGGUGAUAGUUAGAAACAAAUCUUACAUUUCACAUGUUUUACAAAGGACUGGUUUGAUCAAAUUGCACCUUCUCACUACACAUACGCCAAGGUUAAUGAGAGAUGCUCUGAGAGCUGGACUGUGCCGCUGACAGCUUUUCACUGCUAUCAGAUAUAUAUAAGUUUCAGUUUGCUUCUAUUUUGAUGCAUAUAUCAGAAAGAUUGGUAGAGCUUCUGUGGUGCUAGAUAGCAAGAAUGUCAAUAUGAAAGCAAAUAGGCCUACCCUUUCCUGCGCUCCGAGCACGUUGUCUUUGAGAUUGUAAAAUAUGGAGCCCAAAACAAGCCCAGA